CCCGCGGGGCGGGACAAGCUGAGCCGAAACCACACCUGCAGCUCCAGCGAUUGGUGGAGAAGUUCAAGUAGGCACUUUCUACGAGGGGAGGAGUCUAAUUAGUGGACUGGCCCAAGACUGAAACAGCUGAUUUUCGAGAAACCCGCGCGUGAGCCACGGAACCGAAACUAGCUUGAGGAGCCUGUAGACGCCAAGGGCUCCAUGGGAAGGGGUGGGACCGGAAUUUCGACGCCUUGGGAUAGGAAGAGGAGGGCUGAGGGCAACUCGUUGAAGUUGAAAUCAUUCUCUCCUUUAGAAAUUUAAAAACUGAUCUUAGUUCAAGAAAGAAGUUACCAGUCAGUGAUCACCGAGGCUCUAACAAGUGGAGCCUAGAUUCAAAACCAAACCCUCUGACUUCAACUCGCAAACAUUUACGUUCCUGCGUUUUACUGUACAGCCUUCCUCCUGAAUAAAUCAGAGUUUAAAAUUUUGAAGACAUGUA